CCCUGCCCUUUGUACACACCGCCCGUCGCUACUACCGAUUGAAUGGCUCAGUGAGGCUUUCGGACUGGCCCAGAGAGGUCGGCAACGACCACUCAGGGCCGGAAAGUUAUCCAAACUCGGUCAUUUAGAGG
rnacentral:rRNA from 1 species